rnacentral:rRNA from 1 species
UACGAAGGGGGCUAGCGUUGCUCGGAAUCACUGGGCGUAAAGCGCACGUAGGCGGAUUCUUAAGUCAGGGGUGAAAUCCUGGAGCUCGAACUCCAGAACUGCCUUUGAUACUGAGGGUCUUGAGUUCGGGAGAGGUGGAGUGGGAACUGCGAGUGUAGAGGUGAAAAUUCGUAGAUAUGGGGAGGAACACCGGGUGGCGAAGGCGGC